GUUUCAGUUUUUUAAAUAACAGUCAAACCUAGUAAGAUUGCCUUUUGCUAUUUUUUUAAAAAAACGAAGGCGCGGUUGUUGUUUGUCCGUUGCUACGACGAGGACCAUCGUGUUCAAUUUUUCAUUUUCACCGUCAUCCUGAGCGGGACUAAGGACGCUUGUGGGUGCGCAGAUGGCUAGUAAGGCCAAUCUGUGCACGGAAAAGCCUGGAGCACUGAGGGCAUGGUAUUGUUGCAGCUUUGGGAUCUUGAGACUUUCUGGCGGCUCUACGCUCCUCUGCGGCAGCUGUCCAAUUUGCCUCGCAUGCCGCAGCACCGUUGCGAAUGACACGGCGCCAACCUUGACGGUUUUGUGCCAGAAGCUCCCACGAGGUGUGAUCGAUGUUGAAUGCUUUCAGCGAGAGUUUUAGGGUGUCUUUAAAUCUCUUCUUCUGGCCACCUUUGCAGCGUUUUCCGUGCUGAAGCUCACCAAACAGAAGUUUCUUAGGAAGCCGUUCAUCAGGCAUACGAGCUACGUGCCCCGCCCAGCGAAGCUGAGACUGUUUCAGGAUGGUGUGAAUGCUGGGCAGACCUGCACGUGCAAGGACCUCAGUAUCCGGGAUCUUUUCUUGCCAGCGAACAUUGAGAAUUUUCCUCAGACAGGUAGUGUGGAAAUGGUUAAGCUUCAUCGCAUGGCGCUUGUAGAUAGUCCAGGUUUCAGACCCGUAAAGUAGCGUAGGCAGCACAACGGCACGAUACACUUUGAUCUUUGUAUCUGUUCUUAUCCCUCUCCUUUUCCAAACGUUCUUACGAAGCCUUCCAAAUGCGGCGCUUGCUCUGGCUAGUCUGUUGGUAACUUCGUCAUCGAGGACAACGUUUCUGGAGAGAGUACUGCCAAGGUCUGCUUGAGAGGUAGCAUUGAGGGCACAAUCGUCAGC